GACAAAUCAGGGAGGUGUGGGCUGGCUGCUCCGGCCUCACCCGGUGGUCGGGGACCUCCCUCUACUGCGGUCCUCAGCCCGUUGCUUCUUGCUGCCGUUGGUGCUACGUGGCGGUGAUGGGCCUGGCCUCGCUCCCCCAGCAGCCUUCAGAGGAGAAGGGCAAUUCCUCCUGGGCCUCUCUCUGUGCGGGGGGACCUGUCUGGCCUGGACCCCAGUGGCCGGGGUUUGGUCACCAGCUCAGCUCGGGUCCCCACUCCUUGGAGGCUGUCGGGCAUCUGCACUGUCAGCUUUUGGAUCCCCAGAGGGGUGAGUGGGGUCAUUGGAAACUCGCCUCUGAAACUCCAGUGCCGCCACCUGUGCCAUCUUAAUGCCUGUUCUCACGUUUAACGUUGCUGUUUCCACUCCCUCACCCAGGGAACAUUUACCGAGUUCCAGAAACUGCUGUCACUGCUUACGCAUUUGAACGCUAUCACCUGCCUGACAGGGUGGUCAUGGUUGUUGGUGCUUUACCGAGGGCGCAGCUGAGGCCUGGAGAUGCUAAGGAAGGUGCCCAGGGUCGCACAGAGCCGGCCAGUGGGCUUCGGACCUGGGCUGAGCCGGACGUUCCGGCUGGCUGAGCAGCACGCCCCUCGCUCAGUGUGUCCACUGCGGGCACGGGCGCAGGGUGGGCUUACCCCAAGGACAGAUCGCAGCCGGCGGUCCGGCUGUCAACUUCGCGCACUCCAGAGAGGCCAGAAUGCGCCUGACUAAAAUCCAUUUAGGAAAAUUAACCCUGCGGCUCUCACCCUGCUUUCAGUUCGUGGGCGGCAGGAGCUGCAAAGUUCUUAAAAGGUGCGAGGGCGGAUUAAUGGGGUCCAUAUGCCUGGAAUUGAGAAUAUCUUUGUGCUGGGUGGGCUUAUCAUCAAGCCUCUUAGGAUAACAAAGGGUGGGACAGUUCAAAGGACCGGCUCUCCAGACGCUGGGCUCUCACAGGGCCUCUGCUCCAGGCCCGCUGAACAAAUAUUGUUGUCUUGCUCCUCUGCUUUGGAGCCAGGCCUCUGUCUCCCCACGCCUUUUUUUUCCUUUCCUUUUCACCCUGACAGUGAGGCCGUUCCUUUUGUGGGAACCACCCCUGUAAGAGGGCUGAUGUGUAACUCCACUUGGGAGUAAAGCGAUCUUCGAGGAUCCGUCCGUCCCUGGGCUCGUGGGGGCUGCGGGAGGCGCUGGGAGGCGCCUGCCUCGUCUGCACGGCCCUGCUGGGGAGAGCGUCUGCAAGCGGACCAGUGGCUGGACUCAGGGUGUGAGGGACGCUGCUCCCCGCUGGCUGGCUCUGUGCAGACGCCCCAGUGUGGGACACGCUUGUCCAGGCGGGAUGCUCACUCUGCCUCAAAGAGGAGACACGUGCCCCCUCUCUGCUCUGCCUCUGCUCACCUUCGGGCCUGAGCCGCGGUCUGCACUGCUGGUUACGCUUCCUGGCUCUAACAGUGCCCUUGCCUUACAGGUCCUCAGUCCUGGUCCAAAAGCAUCCAAAGGCUGGGUAAUCCAGCGUUGAACCGGAAAGGAACGAGGGCUCGCGGCAGCCGCGGGCACAAGGUUUUCCACCGGCGGGCCAUAGUCAUUCUCGCUGUGACAGUGAUAACAGUGUUGCACACUCGCUUCGGAUUCCAGUGAGGGUCUGUGCCCGGGGUCCUCCGCGUGCAGAGGCCUCCUCGGCGCGGGCCAGCCGCAGAGUCAGCGCCUCUCUCCUUGUCCUCCGCCACCCGCUGGUUGUCAGGCCCUGUUGCUUCUUCCUCCAGGUCACUGUAUGGACGGGAAGCCCCUGCUCAGAGGAAGUGAGUCUCGGUUUCCAAACCUGGAACUUCAAGGAAGUAAUAAAACUCUUUUUAGGGAGGCUUAGAAACAGCGGUGAGGCGUGUGGGGAGACUCUGGCUCUGAGGAGCCCAGCGAGCUUGGCUGUCGUCAUCAGCUGCUCUUGCUGCUGCUUCUCUGGGCAGCCGUGUUCUCUUGGACUGUUAGGUUGUAUUUCCUGGGCUUUUGCAAAACCCGCCGGAGUCUUCUGCACGCAUCUGUCUCGUCUUUCCCCCUCCAACUCCGUCACCGUAUUCCCGGCCUUCCCUUGGGCUCCCCAUGAACUGCACCCCUGGGAGCUGCUGGUUCCCUGGGAAGGUGGUGUGGGUGCAGGAGUGAGGGAGUGGAGGAGGAGGAUAAGGUGUAAGGUGGGGGUCACUGGGGGCUCAGUCCUGCCAGGAUGUCCUCAGAAGCUCCCCGAACACCUCCCAGAGCCGUCUGCCCACGAGGCCAGGGCAGGAGUAUCUGCCCAUGGCUUCCUUCCCUCAGCGGUCAAUUCCUUAUUCCAAAAUGGGGCUGGGGAAGAGGGGUCCCUCCCACAGCCUCAGUGGCCAAGUGAGGACCUGCGGCCCAGGCCUGAAGCACGAUGUCGUCGGCAGCAAGGGCCCCAGGGCUGCACAGGUGGUGUCCUGUGUCCCUCCUGCUGGCUGAUCAUCUCAGGGCUCUGGUCGUGGCCCCUCCUGCUCGGAAACCUGCUGGUCCCCCUUCUCCAGAACGGUGUUCCCCACAGCUUGCCACAAAGACCCACUUGACCCACAGGGCUGAGAAACGCUGGGUUAGACAUGCUUGCAUUGGGUUCUUUACGGUAGGAAUUCUUUCUCGGAGCCUUGAUCCUGCUCAUGAGUCUGGGGUUUAUUAAGGAGGAGUAGGUGAUACAGCUUUCCCCAUUUUCCUGAUGACAGAGCUCCCACCUUCUGGAUGUGGCUCACAGGACUGAGUUUCCUGGGAGAAGUGCCGGCAGUAGAACUGCAUCCAAAAUCCCUGGUCUGAAAUGGGAGACCCUUCGUCAUCUCGGGGCCAGCUGUGUCUUCUAGUCUUAAUUUCUACCAUUGCUCUUCCCACCCUCACCCUUCCUCAACUCUGACAUAACUGGCUCUGCUUCACACACCUUUGUUUCCAAUUGCAGAGUCUUUGCUCGUGCUGUUCCUUCUACCUGGAAUAGCAUGUCAUCUCCCAAAUCAAGCUCUUCUUUGAGUUUCUAUUCAGUUGCCAUCACCUCUCCAAGGCCAACUGAGGUCUGGGGCAGCACAGGGCCACCACAGAAUGUUGUUUGCAACCCUUGAGACCCACCACCAGCCCCUGUUCUGGUUAAUCACACACACGUCUUGUCUGUCCUGCUGAGCCGUAUGUGCCCCCAGGAAGAACUUGUAUCUGCCUCAGCAGUCCUUGGUCAGUCCUCUGUCUAGCAGCCAGGAUCUGUUACGGGACGUGGACCUCAGGGACAUAACACAGCAAAAACCCACCUCCCACGCAUGCCAAGCCCACUGCAGCGUCAGGCAGUCUUCCAGGGCAGCCGUCUUCCAUGCAGUGACUCAGCGAUCCAGGCCACUCCAUCUUAUUGCCCCAUCCUUUCAACACGAGGCCACCGAGGAGGAGAGGGUGCGUGACAAGAAGUCUAACGGCCCCGGCACUCUCGCUAAUUCAGCCUGGGACUCCGGCUCACGGACCUGCCAGAACCAGGCAUUCGCCACCCUCCUCCAAGGCAGGAGGCAGAGAAGCGCACUUUUCCUUGUGCCCAGGACUUGCAUUUGUGUCCACUGAGAUGUCUGGCACACCCCUCCCUGUCCCUGCCUGCACCCUGUUCCAGCCAAAGCUCAGUGCCCUGCACUAGAAGGCGCCCUCAACCCGUUUAUGCGGUAGGGGAGGCCUGCAGGGUGACCUCUCCAUGUCUUUGGAAUUCAGGGCUCUCACAGCUGGAACCACUUACUAGGCAUCUAAACACAUGUCUUGGCAGAGCCCUUGGAAUGUCAUAUGUGGUUCAAAUCUAGAACCGAAAUGUGUCCCAGGAGAUGCUUCCCAAAGAGAUGGUUCCUUGCCCAAAUAAUUGGGGAAACCCAGAAAUCCUCUAUUUUUUGGAGAUGCACAGUGCAUAUAAUCAUAUUCAAGGCUCUGAAAAGUCCUGCAAUUAAACACAACACCUCUGUAAAUUUCCUCCACCCAACAUUUCCCAAACCUCGGCCUGCCUUGUGGGUCGUAACGUAAGCUAGUUGUGAUGAUUCGUGUAAUUCGCUCUGUGCCUGGUGACUCACAAGCAUGCAGUGAAUGGUAGCUGGUGCUGUUCACUCUGCCUGGGCCUCCGCCGGCCCACCUGUGUGAUGGGAGCGUUAGACAGUGGCUCUUACCCUCCAACGCCCGGAGGGUAUCUGUCCAUGUUCUUAUAUCUUAGGGCUGAAAUCGUCCUGGGGCAUGGGCCAUGGGCUUCUUGCUCAAAUGCCUGUAUUUUUUUCUCUCAUGGAAGAUGAUGUUUGAAUUAGACUCACGGGUUUUGGUCAUAGACUGACUCACUGGACAUCUUGCAGAAACUACUUUCCUUCCUGUAUCUCAUUUUUCUCAUAUCUAAAAUUAUGGACUUGGUGGAAUGCUCUUUAAUAUCCUUUCUGUUCCUAAAAGUUAGGAUUUCAUGGUUCUGUUGAGCAGCGCCGAACCAGGUUGAUUUCUGGCUCAUUAGCACAACCCCCUGGUCCCCUCUGGAGCCUCUGCGCUAACGCACUGGGAUCGCUCCAGAAUCUCACUGCGGGCUAAGGAACGAGGUCUCUGGGAGAGGACGUGCCGUACCGAACGUUCUUGCCAGGGUCUCAGUGCCUCGUGGGGGGCGUCUUACUGGGGGGCCGUGUGGUGGGGAGGGAAGGCUAGAGUGAGGGUCUGGCCGGGGCUGGGCGAGGGGAGGGGGCGGCGCCUGGAGGGCUGCACGUGGGAUCUGGGCAGGUCAGUUAGAGUAAAGGUAGUUUACUUCACGGGGUAUGUGUGUGUGUGGGGUGGUGUGUGUGUGUGUGGAAAGGCCAUUCUGAAUCAGCGGUGGGCAGCACAGGGCCAGGAGUGGCCGGCGUGGUAUUAACAGACACGCUAAGCACUCGGGCCUGGGCCUGGCAUGUCUCGCAAGCCUCUUCACUACAGAAAGGCAAUUAGAAAAUGCAGGGGGUGGAGUUCCCGUCGUGGCGCAGUGGUUAACAUUGCGGGUUCGGUCCCUGCCCUUGCUCAGUGGAUUAACGAUCCGGCGUUGCCGU
rnacentral:lncRNA from 1 species